CCCAUUGUGUGAAAGAAACAAUUAUAACAUUGUACUCUAACAAAUCACACAUAUAGAGAAAUGUUAUUUUCGAGUCUCCUUAACCUACUGAUCUUUUUUUAGAUAUAUGAAACUUGCAUUUGUUUUCUUAAUUCUUCUGCAAUGCAGGUGAUAUUCCUAAUGGUUGCUGCUGACGCUUAAAAAAUUACUCCUGAAGCACUAGAAGUGCCCUCUCUAUGGCGCAUCACUCACUGGAUCCAGAUGGGCAACAUUCCGCUUCAAGAUUAAAGAGUACAGUUUUUGCAUGCUAUCAUUGCUUAUCCAAGAGUAAUCUACCAUGUGCCUAAUAUAUAUACAUGAUUGUUGCACCAUCACAAGAUUUCCAUUAUAUACAUGGGCAUAACUUUCUUUACUGUGAAUUAAUCGACACGAUGCUUCUGUUUUAAGGAAUGGCAAUGCUAAAUUCUACAGUGGUACUCUCUACUCUGUCGAAUGUUUACAAACACCACAAAGCUAGAGAUCUAUUGUGGAAACCUUUCUUUCUUUUGUUUGUUAUAACUUCUUAGUGUAAAAAUAAAUAUGGCUUGUCCAUUAGGAAACAAAUAUGUAAGAUUUAUUACUUUUCAAAGUUGAAUUGUUCCUGACAAUUACACAUGAGAGUGCAUAUAAUUCAGUUGUGCUGACUUGCUGUUUCUAAAAUGAUAAGCUGGAGUUGGAGUUACAUAUGAGAGUAGAGAUAAUUUAGUUGUGCUCCUGACUUGAUUAACAAAAGCUGCAGAAGAAAGGGACAAAAUACCAAAAAGCUGAAAAUUUGAAGAAAGGUGGAAGUAGGGAACUACACAACUUGAUUCAAGGUUACGAAGGGACAAAGGGCAUUGAUUGAGCAGGAGAAAACAAUAAUGGGCCGAGGCAAGGAUAUAGUGCUCAGUUAGUAAAGAGAUAUGUGGGAAGUGGAGCAGCGGGAUGCAAAUGGAAUUUUUGUGACUCACUGAAGGUGAGCAAAACUUUAGAAAAGAAAUUGCAACAGAAGUAGAGCCUCAUCACCAAGAGAGCAUAGGGAUUUUAAGUUUUUUGUAGCCUGCACCGGAGACUGUAGAGUUAAGUUUCUACAUCUCAGUGUACAGUUUAACUAUAUCAGGUUAUUUACUAUGAAGUAAAUAUUUGCUUUUGCCAUUGUUGAUCAUGUCCUUCUCUCUGUGCUUGGAAGCAUAAACUUACUUAGCGAUCCUUUUCUGUUAGGCUAAACUUACAUCCUUCUGCUAAUAGUUUAGUGAUAUAAUGAUUAUAAUGAUUAUUCAAAAGGGACGUUGCAUGUUCCUAGAUGCAUAGCCUUUCUUAUAUAUGUUUUCAUAACACUGGAUUUUUUUAGGGAUAACGCUGGGAUUUUAGUCUUUUUGUUGAAUUCCGAAACUGAAAUCCGAAUAAACCAUAUCUUGAAAGGCCGGCAUAAUGGCACUUCAAAUAAAUGCUAAUCUACACUCACACUGCAGGAUGGUGCCCGUUCUUCUGGUGAUUUGGUCAAAGCUACUACUAAGCAAAGAUAUUUUGCAUGCUAUAAGAACAUGUAGGUUCAUAUCGGGCACCCAUACGAUCCUGCAAAGAAUUUUGACUCACUUUGAUAUAUUAGCAACAACAUCGUUUAAAAUCCAAACGAAUGGCAUACUCCCUGUUAAUUCAAAUGCAGAUACAAACUUUAAGAUUUUCUAAAUAAGAAAAUAUAUUUACAGUCCAAGUGUAGUAAUCUGGGAGUUUGAAAUCAUUUCCCCUUUUUAAAAAGCCAGGGACAUGGAAGUUAAUAUUCACAUACAUGGCAGGGAAGGAUUGAUCUCUCUGCUUAGCAAUGAAUUUGUAGCACCCGAUGAAAACAAAUAUUGUGCAGACCCUAUGGCGUCACUGUGUUAGUAGGCCGUAUUGGCGUUGCAAUCUCUUCUUGGACUAACUAAUGCAUAGGUUAUAAAGCACAUCAAACCUUUUGUAGACCAACAAAUCCAACAUGCUAUGUAGAUCUUGUGUGUACGGAUUAAUCUGAUUGAUGACUGAUGGAAAGCUUCAGGACUUGUAUUCCCCCCUCACCCCAUAUCUGUAGUUUCCUAUGAUUCACUUUCAAAUCUGGAUAUUCUCCUAUAUAUUAACUACUGCAUUGGAGGAAAUUAAAUCACUUGCAAUCUACAAUUAAAGAAUAAUUAAGUGGGACCUUGAGAAACAAUAGUUUGCCAUGGUCUGCAAUGGGGCAGAGCCAAAGAGUUUGACCAGAAUAAAAGUCUGGACAACAAAAUUCAAUGGAGAGAGAUAUCCAUUUGUUACCCACAAAUGAUUAUUUUUUUGUUAGUGCCUCUUCUUCUUUCUUGCCCAUUAUUUAGUUAUAACGUGACAAAAUAAACAUGUUGAUUAUACCCGACUUGCACUGAACAUGAAAUUUUUGUUUAUGCACAAACAUGCGAGUUGUGUAGUACUGUAAGUUGACACUGCAUCGAAACAUAACACACAAUUACAUGUGCGUGUAUAAGGAGAAACUAUACCUGCAGCACACAUCCAUCUAUCUCGGUUUAUGGGAGAACUGGCAAAUUUAUGGUAAUGAAGCAUGUAGCUGAGGUGUGAGACAAAUCUUCCGUAGAGUGUUAAUGUUGUUAGUAGUAAUUAACUUGUCUCCUAGGAGCUAACUGCAGCAACUUACCUUGACUGUUAGAUACAGUAUAGCAUUAUUCAUCUUCAUCCAUGAUUGAUUCUUCUGUUUACUGCAAUUCUUUGACAAUUCUUAGCAUCACACAACCAAAGGUGAGAAGCAAAAAUUUGAAGCACGGAACAAAAAAUUCACAAACCAAUGCAUUUAGUAACCAUCGUGGUUCUUACAGGUCCUUUGCAAUCCAAAUUCCAGUUCUAUGACUUGCAAGGAAGGAUGAAGUCCAUGUCAUGAAAAUUUUAAUAUGUGGUCGCUGCCUCCUCCAGCCAUGGAUUUCAAAGGUACGCAGAUUCACCUACAACAUGCAUAUGGGAGAACUUGCAGAUCUGAAGGAAUCAAGCAUCUAGCUAAGGUGCUUGUAGCCACGAUCAGUGCUCCAUCGAGCAAUUUCUUAGGGCUGCACAGAUGCAACAACCUGGUAGAUAGGAUCAUCCUCUAUCAAAAAUAGCCAAAGGAAAAUGUCAGCAUCAGAGAUCCCAUAUAGGCCAGGAUAAUGUCAAAAUAUCUUGGCAUGGGCACGUGGCUCAUAGCCUCAACUUGAGACCGUUUACUCCAUGCUCGUGGUGGAGGCCUAGUCUCGACGGGGGCAUGGCAGUGGCGUGCGUUAGGAUUGGAUUCCGUCGAAGACCUGGGAUUGAUUUUCUAGCUGAGGCUGCGUGCGUGAGGGCUUGAGAGUCGGUUGUAGCCAUGGGAUUCUGGCGGCGGCAGCGUGCGUGAGGGCAGGGGAGUCUGUAGCCCUAUUAUGUUUUUCUUCUUUCAACAAUGGACUCAGGUAAUGGGAAAACUAAUCUAUGGCAUGGCCCUGUAUAUUUUGUCUUCUUUUCACGAUGGAGUCAAGGUUUCUAAAAAAAUUAUGGCAUUGCUGAAUCGUAGAGGCAGGUGAAAGCUAUUUUGAUGCAGCAUAUGCUUUAGUAGGAGUUAUCUCUACCUCUCUAUCUCUACCUAAUCUCUACCUAAUAAUAAAGCAAAUUGGGUUUCUGCUUGUCCGUCAUUAGCAUUUUUGCUAAAAAGCCCCUCCUUUUUUAGUAUUUAACUCGCAGUACAAUUUAAAGUAUGUUUCUUCCUGAGAUAAUGAUUCAUUUUUUGCAAAAAGGACCCUGGCACCACCACCACAGCCCCGCCUUAUCCACUGCCGGCCUUCACAAACGGGCAGCGGCGCGCUUGCCGCGGUGUCCGCUCCGCCCGAGCCCAGUAAUGGGGCAAGGCGUCGCGGCGGCGUUCCUGCACGCCUUGUCGGCCUUGGAGCUAGCCUUGGCGGGGGCGGGCCGAGGCGUCGCGGCGGAGGACGAUAAGCAGACGGGCAAGCGCCGCCGGCGCGCUUGCCGUGGGCGUCCACUUCGCCCGAGCCCAGGAGUGGGGCGAGGGGUCGCGCCGGCGUUCCUACGCGCCUUGUCGCCCUUGAAGCUGGCCUUGGCGGGCCGAGGCAUCGCGGCGGAGGACGACAAGGCGGCCGGCGUGCUCUGUUGGGGCGACGCGUCGCGGCGCUCCGGCUCCAGCAGAUGACGGCAGAGAGCCAGGUGUGGCUUUGUGUCGCCAACAGCCACGAGGUCAUCGGCGCCGGCCACCGUGCCAGGCUGGACCAGCUGCUGCAGCCCCCCUGCGCCGUCGCCGUCGCCGUCGCCGUGGCACAAGAAGCGCGAGUUCCCCCCGCUGUCGGAGGCUGGGUGUCGUUCUCUAGUGCAGAUUGUCUAAUUGAGUUUCUGAAAGCGUCGUCCACGUCUGCACUUCAUGGGUCCGUACACUGGGAACUCACGCCUGAGAACUUCCUGCUCACCAGAUUGGUUUCAGUUUCUCUGUCUGCAUCGAAGAAGGUCAGCACUUUGCCUCGAACAGUUUCAUGAUUACACUCAUGACAUGAUUUACAGUACAGUAGUCUCAUGCGUUGAGCACUUGAGCUCAUAAUACUGCAAUACGGACAUACAUUUUCCAAGCAUAAAUUAAUGAAGAAGUUAUUGCAACAGGAGGGCCUCUAAUUGUAAUUCAUAUACACAUUUCAGCUCAAUAACCAUAUAACGCAUCUUGCCCGAGCUUGAUACUUCCGACUAUCUCCAUGUCUUUCGGGUCAAAGUUAAGUUAGCUCUAUAUACGAGCAGGCAUUUUAUUCUUUGGGAGCAAGCAAGAAUCAACAUAUUCUCUCGCAAUAUUAUCUCCUCCUUCCCCUUGUCAUCCUAAUCCCCUGCAGAUGGCAUGACUAGCUAGGUUCAUAACAGUUGUUGUAACUAUCCGUCCGGUCAUGAAUCAACAAUUACAAUUGUUUUGACUUCUACAAUCAGUUCAGCCGCCUAUGUUGUACUGCCGCUGCCAUUUAAAGAUUUAAGUUGUCAGGUGGAUAUAGGUUCCAUUAGAUUGAAAGUAAUGAAAUUUUAUUUGCCAACCUGGCUGCACUUUGUGAUGCUUUAUUUAUGUAUAUACUUAAAGUUCAAAUGUGAUGUAUGCAUUACUCCUUAUUUGAUACUAGCAUUUGUCGCAAGCACCUUGCUAUUCUGAGUAAUGGUUGAUAUCUUACAUUUAGCCGAGAAGCUGAAAACUUACGAGUUGGAAAACCUUCUAGAUAUACCUAAAAAGACCUUGAAGAUAUCUUCUACUAGACUGGACGAGCUGAUUGACUGGCGAUGGAGAUGCAGCAGUGACCUGCAAUUCUUUCUGCUGUGGAUGGUUCAUUUUGAAAUCUUUUUUAUAUCUGACAAGACACAAGAAAACAACAUAUCUAUCCUGUUAUAUUUACCACUAUCAUCUACAGUGAGUGCUAAGUUGCCCAUAAAUUUUAGUUGAUUUCUGUUCAGAGUGAUCUGAAAAAUAGAUAGCAUAAAAGAUUAGUGGGUAUUACAUUUAGAUUAGUUACAUUUGGGCAAAUAAAUGAGUAGAAGUCAAUUUUGUUUGCUUGAUGUUUCACUUCUUUGAUCUCUUCAUCAUUCUCAUUUUGUUUCAUUGCUUACCAUUUGUUCGAAAAAAUUUCUAGCAGUGGCAAGCAUGGUUAGGGCGAGCAACAAGGGUUCCUGUAGUGCAUAACCAUUUCAAGUCGCCCAAGUUCUAAAGAGAGAUCAGAAGUGCCAGCUACUGAAGCAAAAAAAAGGACCUGAUACACAUUGUAAUCAUGGACUGCUGAUAUACCUGAUGCAUUUCUUCAUGAUGGUCGAUUUCCUUUCACCGGAUCUUACAUGUUUAAUUAUGUGUGCUCGGAACCAAAAACUGAUUGAGAUCUUCAGUUCUUACUUGCAGAUGUUCUGUUAUUCAGAGUAAUUCAGUUUCCAGUCUCUGUUUAUUAAUCAAAUUAUGGGUUAUUUUCAACCAUAUAGGCUUUUAUUAUAUGUUCAGUUAUGCUUCCAUGGGUUUUGCAUAUGUAUUAACAAAACAACCAGACUGCUAUUCUGUAUAUACUUGGAUCAAAGGGUGUACAAUUAAUUUGCUCUUACGAAAGGAAUGAGUAGGCAGCUAGCAGAAUGGGAGGACAAUCAUGACAAGCGAAGGAACAAAUAAAUAGUAAUCCCACAAUUUUUACAACUGCAUUCCACUUUAAUUUGGUAUGGACAUGCAUUUUUAUCCUUGGAGUACUUUGGAUUUUAAGUGGGAAUCAUUGGUUCUUUUCUUCUUAAUAUUUUACUUCUUAUAAUUACAAAUACCAAUUUUAGAGAAUUGAGCUCGUACUUAAAAUUCAAUUGAGUAUGAAGCCACUGCCCAUUGUGUGAAAGAAACAAUUAUAACAUUGUACUCUAACAAAUCACACAUAUAGAGAAAUGUUAUUUUCGAGUCUCCUUAACCUACUGAUCUUUUUUUAGAUAUAUGAAACUUGCAUUUGUUUUCUUAAUUCUUCUGCAAUGCAGGUGAUAUUCCUAAUGGUUGCUGCUGACGCUAAAAAAAUUACUCCUGAAGCACUAGAAGUGCCCUCUCUAUGACGCAUCACUCACUGGAUCCAGAUGGGCAACAUUCCGCUUCAAGAUUAAAGAGUACCGUUUUUGCAUGCUAUCAUUGCUUAUCCAAGAGUAAUCUAGCAUGUGCCUAAUAUAUAUACAUGAUUGUUGCACCAUCACAAGAUUUCCAUUAUAUACAUGGGCAUAACUUUCUUUACUGUGAAUUAAUCGACACGAUGCUUCUGUUUUAAGGAAUGGCAAUGCUAAAUUCUACAGUGGUACUCUCUACUCUGUCGAAUGUUUACAAACACCAUAAAGCUAGAGAUCUAUUGUGGAAACUUUUCUUUCUUUUGUUUGUUAUAACUUCUUAGUGUAAAAAUAAAUAUGGCUUGUCCAUUACGAAACAAAUAUGUAAGAUUUAUUACUUUUCAAAGUUGAAUUGUUCCUGGCAAAUUACACAUGAGAGUGCAUACAAUUGAGUUGUGCUGACUUGCUGUUUCUAAAAUGAUAAGCUGGAGCUGGAGUUACAUAUGAGAGUAGAGAUAAUUAAGUUGUGCUCCUGACUUGAUUAACAAAAGCUGCAGAAGAAAGGGACAAAAUACCAAAGAGCUGAAAUUUUGAAGAAAGGUGGAAGUAGGGAACUACACAACUUGAUUCAAGGUUACGAAGGGAAAAAGGGCAUUGAUUGAGCAGGAGAAAACAAUAAUGGGCCGAGGCAAAGAUAUAGUGCUCAGUUAGUAAAGAGAUAUGUGGGAAGUUGAGCAGCGGGAUGCAAAUGGAAUUUUUGUGACUCACUGAAGGUGAGCAAAACUUCAGAAAAGAAAUUGCAACAGAAGUAGAGCCUCAUCACCAAGAGAACAUAGGGAUUUUAAGUUUUUUGUAGCCUGCACCGGAGACUGUAGA
rnacentral:lncRNA from 1 species